rnacentral:rRNA from 1 species
UACGUAGGGUGCGAGCGUUAAUCGGAAUUACUGGGCGUAAAGCGUGCGCAGGCGGCUUUGCAAGACAGAUGUGAAAUCCCCGGGCUCAACCUGGGAACUGCAUUUGUGACUGCAAGGCUAGAGUACGGCAGAGGGGGAUGGAAUUCCGCGUGUAGCAGUGAAAUGCGUAGAUAUGCGGAGGAACACCAAUGGCGAAGGCAAUCCCCU